GACGAACGCUGGCGGCGUGCUUAACACAUGCAAGUCGAACGGGCCUGUCUUCUUUUUUGGGGGGUGGGUUGAGUGGCGAACGGGUGAGUAUCACGUGAGUAACCUGCCCUUCGGUCCUGGAUAACCGCUUGAAAGGGCGGCUAAUACGGGGUGGUCCGGUUGGUCCGCAUGGGCUGGUCGGGAUAGAUUCACUGUUUUUGGUGUUUCGGCGGGUGGAUGGGCUCGCGGCCUAUCAGCUUGUUGGUGGGGUGAUGGCCUACCAAGGCGGUGACGGGUAGCCGGCCUGAGAGGGUGGGCGGCCACACUGGGACUGAGAUACGGCCCAGACUCCUGCGGGAGGCAGCAGUGGGGGGUAUUGCACAAUGGGCGGAAGCCUGAUGCAGCGACGUCGCGUGAGGGAUGGAGGCCUUCGGGUUGUGAACCUCUGUUUCCGGUGGUGAAGGCCCUGUCCGUGUGGUGGGGUUGACGGUAGCCGGGGAUGAAGCGCCGGCUAACUACGUG
rnacentral:rRNA from 1 species